rnacentral:tRNA from 1 species
GUCUUUGUAGUAUAGACUAUUACUCUGAUCUUGUAAAUCAGAAACGGAGAUCAAAUCCCCCAAAGACA